UGCCUGGUCUUCUGGAGCGGAGAAAUCAAUCGGGAAACCAUGCAAUUGAGGCGAAACUUGGGCUGUUUAGAGUUGCUGACAUCCGAGGAGCCUUCUCCUGG
rnacentral:lncRNA from 1 species